rnacentral:rRNA from 1 species
UACAGAGGGGGCAAGCGUUGUUCGGAAUUACUGGGCGUAAAGGGCGCGUAGGCGGCCCGCUAAGUCGAACGUGAAAUCCCCGGGCUCAACCCGGGAACUGCGUCCGAUACUGGUGGGCUUGAAUCCGGGAGAGGGAUGCGGAAUUCCGGGUGUAGUGGUGGAAUGCGUAGAGAUCCGGAGGAACACCAGCGGCGAAGGCGGCAUCCUGGACUGGUCCUGACGCUCAGGAGCGAAAGCGUGGGGAGCGAUCCGG